GGGAGCGGCGGCAGCGAGCGGUCCGUCUCGCACGCGCGGGCACCGCGCUGGUCCUGGGCUGCAGGUUUCCCAGAUGAUGGCAUCCGAGAACUUAAACAAAGGGGGCUGCCGCCGGCGCGCAGCGGCUGCGGAAAGUUGCGGUGGCGGAUUUCCAAGGAGCGUGGCCACGACCAGAGCUCUUGGCGAUGCGAGCCCCCGCUUCCCACCCCCGCCGAUCAGAGAAGGGGGCCGGCUGGUGAAGGGAAGAGGAAACUUUGAAACCACUGGGGACACAUCUGUCUAUAGACCUAUUGCGAACGCUCAGAGCCGCCGAGGGAACGCCAACGUCUGGGCCGGACACUAAGAUUCUGGAGAUUUGGAAGUCCAAGAUCAAGGUGCUGCCGGAUUUGGUUCUUGCCUGGUUUCAUAGAAGGUUGUCCUCACCAUAGGCAUGGGCAAAGACU
rnacentral:sRNA from 1 species